rnacentral:rRNA from 1 species
CCAGACUCCUACGGGAGGCAGCAGUGAGGAAUAUUGGUCAAUGGGCGGGAGCCUGAUCCAGCCAAGUCGCGUGAGGGAUGACGGCCCUAUGGGUUGUAAACCUCUUUUGCCGGGGAGCAAAGUGCCGCACGUGUGCGGUUUGGAGAGUACCCGGAGAAAAAGCAUCGGCUAACUCCGUGCCAGCAGCCGCGGUAAUACGUAGGGAGCAAGCGUUAUCCGGAUUUAUUGGGUGUAAAGGGUGCGUAGACGGGAAAUUAAGUUAGUUGUGAAAUCCCUCGGCUCAACUGAGGAACUGCAACUAAAACUGAUUUUCUUGAGUGCAGGAGAGGUAAGUGGAGUUCCUAGUGUAGCGGUGAAAUGCGUAGAUAUUAGGAGGAACACCAGUGGCGAAGGCGACUUACUGGACUGUAACUGACGUUGAGGCUCGAAAGCGUGGGGAGCAAACAGGAUUAGAUACCCUAGUAGC